rnacentral:rRNA from 1 species
GUAGGUGGCAAGCGUUGUCCGGAAUUAUUGGGCGUAAAGCGCGCGCAGGCGGUUCUUUAAGUCUGAUGUGAAAGCCCACGGCUCAACCGUGGAGGGUCAUUGGAAACUGGAGAACUUGAGUACAGAAGAGGAAAGCGGAAUUCCACGUGUAGCGGUGAAAUGCGUAGAGAUGUGGAGGAACACCAGUGGCGAAGGCGGCUUUCUGGUCUGUAACUGACGCUGAGGCGCGAAAGCGUGGGGAGCAAACAGGGAUUAGAUACCCUGGUAGUCCACGCCGUAAACGAUGAGUGCUAAGUGUUAGGGGGUUUCCCGCCCCCUUAGUGCUGCAGCUAACGCAUUAAGCACUCCGCCUGGGGAGUACGGCCGCAAGGCUG